AAAACAGUAAGACUUUUAGACUAUACAAUGCAGAAUCAUUGGGUUUGUGAAGCAUUAUAUUGUCAUACAGAAAGCAAGACAUGGAACUCUUGAGUGUCUCAUAAAUACUAACAGAUUUUUUCCUCAUAGUUUAAAUAUUAUGAUGUCCUUUUCCACUUGUAUCUCCACUUGAAAGUGCCAACUACUGCAGCAUGAACUGAUUACUCAGCAAAGGAAUUCACUGUGGGAACUUUCAACAUUUUCAUUAAGAAGCAACAUACAUCUAUCCAGCUUGCACACUGCCUAGAACAUGCAGAACUCGCUGAGAAGGGAAACAAGGAAGGAAGAAAAGGAUUAAAGGACAGAGAGGGAGAGAGGAAGAGGAAAGAGUAGGUAUCAGUGAAGAAAUGGAGACUCAAGUUUCAGUUUACCGGGCA
rnacentral:lncRNA from 1 species